rnacentral:rRNA from 1 species
UACCAGCACCCCGAGUGGUCGGGACGUUAUUGGCUAAGGCAAUCCGUAGCCGGUUCUACAAGUCUUCCGUUAAAUCCACCUGCUUAACAGAUGGGCUGCGGAAGAUACUAUAGAGCUAGGAGGCGGGAGAGGCAAGCGGUACUCGAUGGGUAGGGGUAAAAUCCGUUGAUCCAUUGAAGACCACCAGUGGCGAAGGCGGCUUGCCAGAACGCGCUCGACGGUGAGGGAUGAAAGCUGGGGGAGCAAACCGG